AUAUAUGUAUAAAUAUUAUAUAUAUGAAUAGAUUUAUAAUGCCUAUAUAUUCUGUUUUGUAAGGUUUCGUAUGAAGUUGUUUGGAGGCUUUGAUGUAUUCCAAUUAUUUGGCUUGGUGUAUUUUGAGAUUUGGGAUUCGUUGGCUUGGUGGCUGUGUGAUUUGGGAUUUAAAUUUUUGCUUGUUUAUCUUAAAAUUUUCUUGUAACUCUAGGAUAUUUUCUGGUUAGUUUCUGAUUUUAUCUUUUGGAUGUUUUUUGUCUUGCGCUGGAAAGUAGUGUAAGGAAACCAGGGCAUAUGGAUCUCUUAAACUAAUGGUUGAUGCUCUUCAAGUGUUUGAGAAAUUGAUGCAAAGAAACUACAGAAUAUGAUUUAAUGAAACUAUGAGUGAUUCUAGUUUUUGUGUGCUCAAAUUACUACUGCCUUUUGUUAUUAUUAUUGUUAGAUGAUUAAAUAUAAUAUAUAUUUAUAAUUAUAUAACUCUUUCGUGGCCUCUCUUUAUUAUAUUGAGCUUUUUCUUAGUAUAUAACAUGGUAGCUACUUGUGUGUAUAUACUGUAUAUAUAUGCUAUACUAUACAUAUGCAGGAGUGCUUAAAUGGAGAGUUUCUUCAAGUUGGUCUCAAGUUUGUUCCACUAGCUGGAUAUCACUGGUUUGAUGGAGAUGGGUAUAUAUAUUGACUUCAUUAUUCUAAAAACUUAUUUAAUGAGUAUAUAUAUUGACGUCUUCAACAAGAAGAAUACUUUGGAGCUCCCAAAUUCAUGAAGAUUGGAGACCUGAAAGGGCAUUUUGGAUUACUCGCGGUGAUCAUGCAAAUUCUGAGAGCAAAGCUCAAAGUAUUAGAUCUUUCGUAUGGAAAUGGAACAGGUAUAAUUAAGCACAACUCAACUACACAUCUGGUACUGAAAUAUCUGUCUUCAUGUGAAUGUAAUUUUAGAAAUUAACAAUUUUAUUAUUUUUAAGUGAGUUAUGUCGGCAAGGAUAGGAAUGUCCUAUGGAGGCUUUAUGAGUGAUCUUUUUCAUGCCAUAUUAGUAAUCUCUUUAAACUGUAUAUUAGUCAAAAUUUGAAACUUGUGUGCACAAAAUGUUAGUUGUUAUUCAUAUCUUGGCUUCCUUUGUAACUGUAUAACAUGAAUUUGUUGAGGAUUAUGUAAUUUUUCUUGAAA